rnacentral:misc_RNA from 1 species
UACCUGCCUAACCCCUCGCUCCCUCGGGGCCCCCUUUUCGGUUUUUCAAUAUGAUAUCCACAUCCCCGUCCCCUUUUUCUCCGAGGGCUGGAUAGUCUCAGUAGCUAGCAGUCAGAGUAGUAGAAGCAUGAACAUUAGUCUGCCACGCCGCGCACUCGUCCUCUUAUUUUAUCUAUUGCUCCUACCCCGAAGCGCCCCCUCCCCUUUCAAUCAGAUCGAUUCCAGUCACCGUCAAGGUUAGCCAAGUCCUUUCUAGCUUCUACCGCCCCUUCGGGAAAAGAGGAGGCUUUGCCGCUAGACCGAAGGUCCCCCCACUGGGUUAAGUACUUGCUAAACGUUCCAUCUUCAACCUUGUUCUCAAGGUUGUUCAAAAGGGGAAGUCAAAGGCAAGCCAGCCAGUAGAAGUUCGAGUUUUCUUUUAGCCGCUAUAUACGCUAUUUAUCGCUCUACCUUGCUUCUGGUUCAUUGAGGGGUUCAGGUUAAGAAGGG